CCUUGAGCAGGGUUCUGGGAGGGGCAGCAAGCACCACCACAUGACCUUUUCACCAGGCGAAUAGUUACAGCUGCUGCCACACACGUGCACCUCCCCACCCCUCCCCUGUGGCCGAUAUCUGUGCCAAGUGCACUGUCACCAGCUGUGCCUCACUUCCCGCUACCAGCAACUCCAGGGGGUAGCACCCAAUGGCCCCGUUGUACAGAGGAGGCAACUGAGGCUCAGAGAGCUGAAAGGACCUGCCAAGCUCAAGCAGCUGCAUACUAAGGCCCAUUCACAAAUCAUGCUUCAGCACCUUAAACCCCGGGUUUUCAGCCGAGCUCUGUGGAAGGAGUUGGCCCAGUCCUUGGCCAUGGACCCACCCUCACCUCUCUGGAUCUGGAUGGAGCGAAGCUUGUGAGUCUCCUUGUCUGAGGCGGCCCUCAAAGCAAGUCACUGCAAUUGUUCUUCUUGGAGUA